UCGUAUACGUAUUCUGAAGCAACGUCUGGUAAAGGCAUAAAACUUCAGUUCACAUCCAGCCGGUACGGUAUCUACAAAUUAAAUGGAUGAUUCACAGACAUUAAAUGCUGGUAUUCUACCACCAUUAAGCAAGAUAUUACAAGCCAUUCGUUACACUGGCAAAUUCUCGUGCUUUUCUUCGAUUUUGCUUCUUUAACGAUGCAAUAUAAUGAUAAGUAAUCGUGAAACUCUGUCAUGCAGUUAUAAAAAAACUUGGUGUAUUUUUACUCAACAAAUAUCAGACCAUACUCAAAAAUAUAUUAACCUGGCGUGAACCAAGACUGCGAACGCUUGGAAGACUAGGAAAUACACGUUCAUGUCGCACCUGAAAUGGAAACAGUUUUUCUGAUCGCGUUUGUGAGGAGUAUUUGCAAGAAUUACUAUCAACGAAAGCAAAACUGAUUUUGUUACCUGAAGAAUCCGUUGGUGAUGGUGGUAAUGGUUUAACGUACUUUGGCAUUGAUUGACAAACUCCGAGAACACAAACACCACUGUCUGAGUUGCAAUGGGUACCAUCUUCUACUG